rnacentral:rRNA from 1 species
GACGAAGGGGGCUAGCGUUGUUCGGAAUUACUGGGCGUAAAGCGAGUGUAGGUGGUUGUUCAAGUUGGAUGUGAAAGCCUUGAGCUCAACUCAAGAAAUGCAUUCAGGACUGAGCGACUAGAGGACCGGAGAGGAUAGUGGAAUUCCCAGUGUAGUGGUGAAAUACGUAGAUAUUGGGAAGAACACCAGUGGCGAAGGCGGCUAUCUGGACGGUUUCUGACACUAAGACUCGAAAGCGUGGGGAGCAAACAGG